GCCCUUGUAGCUCAGUGGUAGAGCGCUUCACUCGUAUCGCGCGUCAUGAAGAGGUCCGCGGUUCAAUCCCGCGUGGGGGCA